rnacentral:rRNA from 1 species
CUGCUCCUGAAGUUUUAAAGAGCCGCGGUUUUUGACCGUGCAAAGGUAGCACAAUCAAUAGUUUUUUGAUUGGAAACCAGAAUGAAAGAUUUAAUGAAUUUUUGACUGUUUCUUAGUAAACAUGAAUUUAACCUUUUUGUAAAAAGGCAAAACUGCAAAAAAGGACGAGAAGACCCUAUAGAUCUUUAUUAAAAUAAAAAUAGAAGAAGUAAGAAAUGGAGUUUUUAAAGGUUAUAUAAAUUUGGUUGGGGCAAUCAGAAAGCCAUAAUGGACCUUUCUUGUUAGGAAUAGGAUAGGUAAAUAAAUCAUCCAUGAAGUAUGAAAACAGAAAAAGAUACCUUAGGGAUAACAGCGUUAUCCUUUUAGAGAGUCCUUAUCGAUAAAAGGGUUUGCGACCUCGAUGUUGGAUAAAGUAUCUUAGAC